rnacentral:tRNA from 1 species
GGGGAAUUAGCUCAAAUGGUAGAGCGCUCACUUAGCAUGCGAGAGGUAGCGGUAUCGAUACCCACAUUCUCCA